CAGCAGCCGCGGUAAUACGUAGGGUGCAAGCGUUAAUCGGAAUUACUGGGCGUAAAGCGCACGUAGGCGGCUCAGCAAGUCAGGGGUGAAAUCCCGGGGCUCAACCCCGGAACUGCCCUUGAAACUGCUAGGCUAGAAUCUUGGAGAGGCGAGUGGAAUUCCGAGUGUAGAGGUGAAAUUCGUAGAUAUUCGGAAGAACACCAGUGGCGAAGGCGACUCGCUGGACAAGUAUUGACGCUGAGGCACGAAAGCGUGGGGAGCAUACAGGAUUAGAUACCCGCGUAGUCCCUGUCUCUUAUAC
rnacentral:rRNA from 1 species